AUGGCCGACACCGCGUACAACUCGUGCUGCGUCGAUGAGGUGGGGGCGUCCAACAUUGACGCCCAGUGCGUCGUCCACUACGGCCACUCCUGCAUGAGCCCGACAUCGAAUUUGCCAGCGUUCUUUGUAUUUGGGAAGGCACCAUUGGACAUCAGUUUGUGUUGCCGCUCAUUGCUGGAUUGCUCGAGAGAAAGCAGUAAACCCGUUCUUGUGUUAUGUGGGUUAGAGUAUGCACAUGCUUUGGACGAUCUUAAAAGAGCCACUAUGGAAUUAUGCAAAUCAGAUUGUCAAAAUUCCGAAAUCCAUUAUGCAGAAGUUCUGUGUUCGGAAAUGAGUCCGUCAUCAAGUUCUACUGCAGAAGAGCAAUGUUCGCAAUCCAAUGGAAGCACUCAUAAUGAUGGUUUGCCUGCAGACAAUGAUGAUUUGGCAACACUUGUGAACAAUUGCUGUAAUGUGGAAGGGUCCACGCGCAAGUAUAAUCUUGGAGGCCUUACAUGGCGCGUAUCCACCGAUGAGAAAAUGGAUGACUAUUUGUUAUAUUGGAUUGGACAAGAUAACUCUGCUUUUGCCAACAUUGCACUUACUUUCAAUAAGUGUGAUAUAGUUAGAUACGACACAGCAGCAAAUCAAUUCUCAAGGGAUGUCUCUCAUCUGAUGAAAAUUCUUAGGCGCAGAUAUUACCUUGUGGAGAAGGCAAAGGAUGCAAAUAUUGUUGGCAUUUUGGUGGGAACUCUAGGCGUUGCUGGUUACCUUGACAUAAUCGAGCAAAUGAAAAAUCUGAUCAAAACUGCUGGAAAGAAAUCUUAUACACUGGUCAUGGGACGGCCUAAUUCUGCUAAGCUUGCCAAUUUUCCUGAGUGUGAAGUUUUUGUAUAUGUUUCUUGUGCCCAAACUGCUUUAUUGGAUAGCAAAGAAUUUUUAGCCCCAGUUAUCACACCAUUUGAAGCUGUAUUAGCUUUUAGCAGAGGAAGAGAAUGGACUGGAGAAUAUCUUUUGGAUUUCAAGGAAUUGAUCAGUUCGGAGAAACCAGAAGUUGCAAGCAAAAGUGAAGAAGCACGUUUUUCUUUUAUCAAAGGCGGCUAUGUGGAAGAUGAUUGUCCUCAAGAAAACGAGGAGCAUUCAGAAACAUCACUUGCACUGGCCGAGCUAACGGAGAAGGCCCUAAGCACCCAAAACCAAAAUAGCGACGCAGUUCUUUACCAAGGAGGCGCGAAGUCUGCAAUCGAAUACCUCAAGGCCCGGUCCUACCGUGGUAUGACUGGAGAAUAUGAGGGUCCAGCACCAGACUCGGUCUUGAUAGGCAGGACAGGGAGGGCUGCUGGUUACUCUGAUGAGAAAACGAAGAGCCCACAAUGA
rnacentral:rRNA from 1 species